rnacentral:rRNA from 1 species
UGAGGAAUCUUGGACAAUGGGCGCAAGCCUGAUCCAGCCAUGCCGCGUGAGUGAAGAAGGCCUUCGGGUUGUAAAGCUCUUUUGUCAGGGAAGAAACGGUAGUAGCGAAUAACUAUUACUAAUGACGGUACCUGAAGAAUAAGCACCGGCUAACUACGUGCCAGCAGCCGCGGUAAUACGUAGGGUGCAAGCGUUAAUCGGAAUUACUGGGCGUAAAGCGUGCGCAGGCGGUUGUGUAAGUCAGAUGUGAAAUCCCCGGGCUCAACCUGGGAAUUGCAUUUGAGACUGCACGGCUAGAGUGUGUCAGAGGGGGGUAGAAUUCCACGUGUAGCAGUGAAAUGCGUAGAUAUGUGGAGGAAUACCGAUGGCGAAGGCAGCCCCCUGGGAUAACACUGACGCUCAUGCACGAAAGCGUGGGGAGCAAACAGGAUUAGAUACCCCCGUAGUCCCUGAGCGGGCUGGCAAGGCGCAU